rnacentral:rRNA from 1 species
GGACUACUAGGGUUUCUAAUCCUGUUUGCUACCCACGCUUUCGUGCAUGAGCGUCAGUAUCGACCCAGGGGGCUGCCUUCGCCAUUGGUGUUCCUCCACAUCUCUACGCAUUUCACUGCUACACGUGGAAUUCCACCCCCCUCUGCCGUACUCUAGCCUAGCAGUCACAAGCGCCAUUCCCAGGUUGAGCCCGGGGAUUUCACGCCUGUCUUACCAAACCGCCUGCGCACGCUUUACGCCCAGUAAUUCCGAUUAACGCUCGCACCCUACGUAUUACCGCGGCUGCUGGCAC